UACGAAGGGGGCUAGCGUUGUUCGGAAUUACUGGGCGUAAAGGGCGCGUAGGCGGUGCUGUAAGUCAGGCGUGAAAUCCCCGGGCUCAACCUGGGAAUUGCGUUUGAUACUGCGGCGCUGGAAUGCGGGAGAGGAUGGGCGGAAUUCCCAGUGUAGAGGUGAAAUUCGUAGAUAUUGGGAAGAACACCGGUGGCGAAGGCGGCAUCUGGCCCGUAAUUGACGCUGAGGCGCGAAAAGCGUGGGGAGCAAACAGGG
rnacentral:rRNA from 1 species